rnacentral:rRNA from 1 species
AUGCCGAACUCGCAAAAGCGGAAGGCCACCGGCGCACCGGCGCCGCGGCGCUGCCCGCCGCCCCGCAUGGAGUACCGCGCGCGGUCCGACGAGGCAUGGUACGGCGCGCGCGUGGUAGUGCAGGACGGCUGGCUGCGCGUCAUGUUCGAGAAUUUCCCCGAGGAUGCGGACGAGUGGUACAAUCCAGGGGCUGACCUCUCAUCCCCGGGCGACGUGGACGCGCUCCGCGCCAGGUUCCGCCGGGCGUGCCCCGCCCUCGAUGAUGCCCACUGUGGCGAUCUCCGCCCGGGCGACCAGCUCUGCCUCGCCUGCGAUAUGCACGGCGGCGAGAUCAAAUACUACGACGCCGUCCUCGAGGCCGUAGAGAAGGCACCUCACGGCACCGUGGACGGCGAGGAGCGGUGCGCGUGCCGUUUCACGGUGUGCUGGACGGAGGGGCCGCGCCGCGGUUGCUCGGACAAGGUGGGCGUCGAGGUGGUAUACUGCGUGCUGGAGUCACCGAUCCAAGAUCCGGUGCUGACCGAGUUCCUGGACGAUGUGAGAAACCGGUUCGGCGACGACCAAGAGGAGGCGACGGCGGUGUCUCAGCAGGCAGCCCCGAGCGGCGAGGAGGAAAUUGCGCUGGUUUCCAGCCUCACGAGUCACGAACUCCUCGAGUAG